UUUAAGGUCUAACCUGCCCAAUGAGGAUUUAAAUGGCCGCAGUAUUUUGACUGUGCAAAGGUAGCAUAAUUAUUAGUUUUUUAAUUGAAAGCUUGUAUGAAGGGUUGGACGAGAUAAAAUCUGUCUUUAUUUAAAUUAAGGUAUAAUUUAACUUUUAAGUCAAAAGGCUUAAAUGUUUAUAAAAGACGAGAAGACCCUAUAGAUCUUUAUUUAGUUAAGAUUUUAAUAAUUUAGGAUUAUUUUAAUUUGGAGUCUUAAUUGAAUUUUAUUGGGGUAAUAUAAAGAUUAAAUGAAUUCUUUUUAUUUAUGACAUUAAUUUAUGAAUAUAUGAUCCAUUAAUAUUGAUUAUAAGAUUAAGUUACCUUAGGGAUAACAGCGUAAUUUUUUUGGAGAGCUCAUAUCGAUAAGAAAGUUUGCGACCUCGAUGUUGGAUUAAAAAUUAGCUUGGGUGCAGAAGCUCAAGAUUUUGGUCUGUUCGACCAUUAAAUUUUUACAUGAUCUGAGUUCAGACCGGCGUAAGCCAGGUCGGUUUCUAUCUUUAUUCAGAUAAAAUAUUUUAGUACGAAAGGACCAAGUAUUUAAUAUAAUUAUAUUUAUUUUUU
rnacentral:rRNA from 1 species